GAUGAAGAACGCAGUGAAAUGCGAUAAGUAAUGUGAAUUGCAGAAUUCAGUGAAUCAUCGAAUCUUUGAACGCACAUUGCGCCCGCUGGUAUUCUGGCGGGCAUGCCUGUCCGAGCGUCAUUUCAACCCUCAAGCCCCCGGGCUUGGUGUUGGGGAUCGGCGAGCCUCCGCGCCCGCCGUCCCCUAAAUCUAGUGGCGGUCUCGCUGUAGCUUCCUCUGCGUAGUAGCACACCUCGCACUGGGAAACAGCGCGGCCACGCCGUUAAACCCCCAACUUCUGAACGUUUGACCUCGGAUCAGGUAGGAAUACCCGCUGAACUUAAGCAUAUCAAUAAGCGGAGGA
rnacentral:misc_RNA from 1 species